GGCGAAUGAAUAAUAUUUGCAUUCAUUCGUCAGUCGAUUUGGCAAAAAUGUCAUCAUGCAGGAAUAUUAGAUCAAAAUCAACAUAAGGUUUUGUAGCCUGGCCUGGCGAGGCUUUUUAAUAGUUAUGUGUGCCAAUGAACCAUCUCCGUGGAGGAACGAUACCAAAUAUUUUCCAGGUACACCAGCUGGCCAAUUAAAUAUGGACUUGGAAAUCUGGCUCUACUGAUAGCACGUGGACGACCAAUAUCAUCACAUGUCAAGUUCUUGCCAACCGAAAAUCCCGACACACUUCAGGACAGUAAUGGACGGAGAUUCCCAAGUAGUUCGACUUGGAGUAACAAGCCAUGCAACGAAACUACAGGGAAAAUAUCGAAUGAAACUUGAAAACCCUCACACAACUCAUUUACGGCACUUACCUGUCUUCUGGAGUGCGGUAAGAUGACGGCUUUUAGGAGCCCUUUGAAGCUGGCACGUGGGGUCAGGAGCGUGGCAAAGACGGAAUGGGCACCGACACACCAUGCGGAAACAAAAAAAAACUGCCAAAUAAAAAGCCGGCUUAUAGAAUUGUGUGAGUUUGAUAUGGGGUAGCGAUCUAAAUUAUUAUAUUUUUUUUAAAUUUCGUAUCACACACCGCGCAGGACUGCAAAGACGGCUAAUUAGUUACAAUUUCCCCAGCUGCCUAUCAGGAGGGAAAAUUCUGAAAACUAGUACUGUAACUCUGAUUCUAAACAAUUCCCACAUAUUUAUAUCUCGCCAAACACACAGCGAAACUAACCGUAAAUGCCAACGCAUGAUUUGUAAUAAAAAUACCGAACCGUAAAGUACCAA